AUUAUGGAGAGUUUGAUCCUGGCUCAGGAUGAACGCUGGCGGCGUGCCUAAUACAUGCAAGUCGAACGCGCGGAU
rnacentral:rRNA from 1 species